rnacentral:misc_RNA from 1 species
GAUGAAGAACGCAGCGAAAUGCGAUAAGUAAUGAGAAUUGCAGAAUUCAGUGAAUCAUCGAAUCUUUGAACGCACAUUGCGCCCCCUGGUAUUCCGGGGGGCAUGCCUGUUCGAGCGUCAUUUCAACCCUCAAGCUCUGCUUGGUAUUGGGCGUCGCCGGGGAGUCUCCCCGGCGUGCCUCAAAGCCAUCGGCGGUGGUGCCUUUCUCUAAGCGUGGUAGAAUUUUUAUUCGCUUCUGAGUUGGGCUUCGCCUGCCGGACAAACCGGGCCCUCGCGGCCCACCUUCUCAGGUUGACCUCGGAUCAGGUAGGGAUACCCGCUGAACUUAAGCAUAUCAAUAAGCGGAGGA